UUCAGAGAACCUUCGACGAUUCAUACCUUCAACGUUUUGUCUUUAGUAACGCUUGAUCUACCCACUCUUUCACAUUAAACCCCCUAUUUACUCAAUCAAUCAAAAGACAUGUUAUCGUAUGGGUUCCUUUCGUUUGUGAGGUUAUAUAAACCCUUAAUUCCAUUCCCUACUCCACACAAAAACUCACGAAACCUCCAAAAUUUACCUGAAAAUCUCAUCAGUCAAUGACGACCUAAUCGGCAAAAUCCACAGGGAAGGCUCGAGUUGCUCAAUCUGUAAAACCAUCUCCCCAUGGGCCCUGGCUUAGCUGAAUCGGAGCUCUGUUUCCGUUUGAUACAUUUUUUUGAUAUGAACAGAAAGCAAACAGGCAGACAAGGAUUCAACGUGGCAAGUGUGUGUAAGAGAAGAUCCGGCUCAGAAAGCCUUGCAAAGCUUCAACUAGCGGAAGAGAAGCCACUUCUAAACGGGCUGAUAUUGAAUCACAGCAACAUAAGACUUAGCUUCCAGAGGCUUGUGGCCAUGCUCAAGGUCGAAGGGAGAAGAACUGUCAUUUCAGAAUAGCCGCCGUCCUCAGUGACAUUGAAGCCUCGAGUUAGUAACCGAGGAACAACACGACAAUCUGCUGCUCCUUCGAUUCUAACAGAGAAAACAUCAUACUUUCUAGCUGAGGUGACUCAUCCAUUCUCAGCUACUUCAGAAAACGAAUUGGACUUGGAAAAAGGAGAUUACGUCGUUCUCAUGUUGUUUCUGCAUAGGUUGACAACAUUAUAGUAAUAGGCCACAUCAAAUAUGGAAGAAUUGCAGCGCUUAUGAGAACCAUCUAAAACAUCAGUCUAGUUUAGUAAAGAGAUGAGUCAUGAAUGGAAAAGCCGCCAAGUUAAGAACACAAGCAGCUUCAUCACACUUAAGUUUUGAUGAACAAUGCUUGAACUGUGAGAAAGUUUCCAAGCAUACGAUCAAUUUGUUUGUGUCUCAAAAUGUGCUAGCCUGCUGUCUAUGCUGCUUCACAAACACCAACACCAGUGCCUGAAGACACUGCUUAUUGCGCGCAUCCUAAUCAGGCAUACCCAACUACUGCAGCUACAGCACCAGUGGCUGCGCCGGUCCAGCAAGCUGCUGCUGCUGCUCCUCCUCUUACUACAACACUUACUACUGAGUCUAUAUGUGUUGCUGGUGGUUAGCUAUUUACUCUUUGGCUACUCAAGUUAAUUAUCUGAAUGUUUAUAUGUCUUUCUGUUCUCAAUCAGUGCUUUGAUUUGUGCUGGUUAUGAUACAGAUUGUAACAGACAAGUUUGAAUCGAAUUCGCCGGUUCGUGCGGUUUAACAGAUUA